AAGGACAUAGAGCUAUCCAUGAGAGAAUCCUGGUCUAGGUAGAAAGACCACACUUGCGAAAGAGAUUGUCCUUGCUAGGGAAAUAGCCGCUGAAUCCUAACAUCUAGCAAUUGCUAGGGAAAGGAAAAUUACUAUUGGCACCAUCGAGGAUAUUCAAAAAAGCUUCAGAUACGCACUAUUUCCCAUUGGAGAAUGAACCAACUAAGAAGUUGAGUUCAAAACGAAGCAAAGCUUUGACUAGCUGGUGGAACAAAAGCAAAACUCCUAACUUUCUCUCUCUUCUCUCCCUUUUCUCUCUAUUCCUUCUUGAAGACAAAACCCUAGAUCUGGUUUUCUAGGUGGCCAACGGCCGUGUUUCGCCGUCGGCUCCGCCUCCGGUUCCGUGUUCUCUUCUUCUUCUUCUUUAGAGGGUUUGAGGUUUCUCGGUCCGGUGUGGGUGUGGAAGCUUGGGUUAGGGGUCCAGAUCUAGGUGUCGAAGUGGAGUCUGUCUCUCUUUUACGCCCUUCAUCCUCCUUCUCGGCGAGGGUGUGCUCCUCUGGUGGGCCUGUUCCGGUGGGGAGCUAAGUGGUUACGGUCUAAGGGAGUGUUUGCUUGAUAUCGCCUCUUGUCUCUGUCCUGGUUCUUUUAGAUCUGUCAGUUGGAUAUCACGGUGGUUCGUCUGGUGAAGUCAUCGUUUCCGGCAGGGCAGUGCAGAUCCACUUCGGGUUCUCCGAUGUGGAGGCGCGUGAGACCAAGGAUCUGUGGCUUUGUCAUCGUGGGUCCUCGUUCUGUGGCGGCAUGUUCGGUUCUAGCCAGCUUCAGGGGCUUGCUCUUGACUGCUCUUUGUGGAGUGGUGCUGGUUGUGUCCGUCUGUUCAGUUUCAGGUGCGGUGGUGUGGCGCUUCUCGGCGAGUCAUCUUCUUCAAUAAAGACUCGGCAUUGGCUUGCAUGUAUGCUUGACCUCGGGGUUUACUGUCUGAUUGUGUUGGCUGCAGCUUAGGAAGUCUUAUGCAAGUUGUUCUUGGUUGAACCAUAUCUUAAAGAGCGGAUCAUCGGGUAAGCCAAUUUUUACCGGGUUCUGUCUUUCAAAUUAACUGGGCUCCUCCUUUUGCGGCAAGUAGUUUGUUCUGAUUUUGACGAGUCGAUUGAUUAGUUGUUCUCCUUGUUGUGUUGGUUCCUGUAUUGACUAGGUUAGAGGUCUUCUGUUUAGUUGCAUUUCAAUUUUUCUGUUUAUUGUGUCCUCUGUAUUUCUGUAAAAAACUUGAAAAUUGGCAACAAUA